CCAGCCAGAGCACAGAAUGAGGGGAGACUGAAUCAGAGAGAGGGCCAUUUUUCUCCUCUUGAAGGUGAGGGACCUUGCACUGUCGUCUGAGGAAAGCCUGGACUGCUCUUCCCUCCUCAGAUGACCCCGGGAUGAGGAAGGAAGAGCAAGCUCACAGUAACGCGGCCAUCACUCCCACGUGUGCUCGCGGGGGAACCUGGCGCAAAGGGUUAAAGCCGUAUCGUGGACUUGUAAGCUUCGCUGUUGUGUGGACGUGACCUCACUCUUCCGUUCACCUCUAGGAGACACAGCAUGCUUUUCAAAGGGUUUUUUACCGCAUCGGUUGAGAGGUACCUGUGUACUUUCACAGUUAGAUCCUUAGCAUAAAGACCCCCUCCCCGCCUUGGAAACCCUACAUUUAAUCUCUCCUGUCACUUUCAGGGAUAGAGAAGCAGGGCCCAGCAGAGAAUGACCAGCAUCAGUUUAUUGACGUCUAAGAACUAUUAACCUUUUGCAGAGAAGGGAAAAACCCCUCCGUGUAUCUAGGGCCUCCUGGGUGCUAAUUUGACAUGGCAAUGAGAUAAAAGUUGGGCUCGGGCUGCUAUCAACCUCAGCGGAUCGGAAUGCCGUCUACUUAGCAUAGGAGUCAAACAAUUCCCUGGCAAUAGAUUGCUUUCCACUUGUAGGUCUACUAAAUAAAUAGAAAAGUAAUUAACAGUGCACUAUGGCAGAUGUAUCAGGGGGAAUUUCAUUAGAGCAGAAGAACUGAGCCAUUUCGUAUCCCACCGUCCGAGGAAGCUUCCCUGCCGUCUCUAGGAUGGAUGUGUGAUUUCUGCUUCUCUUCAAAAAAUGGAAAUUUCUAAAUCUCCUAUGAUCUCUUCACAUUGAUCAAUGGGAAAAGAAAAAGAAGCCCGUUAAGUGCCUGAAAUCAGUCCACAAAUAAAGAAUUCCUCUCAUUUUUCUAUUAAAUUAUUUUGUUCCUGAAACCCAUGGAUGGUCAUCUCUCUUUUGUGGGGGUAUCUUUUUUUCUUUUCUUUUCAGUUUGCUCAAUUAUUAAAUAUCUGAAUUUUGAAAUGCU